CUGGGAUUUAAUAUAAGUGUGUUGCCGCUGUCGGAAUUAAAAUAUUUUUAUAUUUCACGCUCUACUACAUUGUCGUUCAGCAAAGAGACUAGGUUGUAUUAUAAAAGAACUGCUUCAAGCUGAGAUAUUCAUACCGAUUCUAUUCGUGUCUCUAAGAAAUGGAAUUUUUGAAACACAGUCUGCUUUUCCUUGCUGCUCUGGCGAUGGCAACUUUGGCUGUCAUCCAGGCUGCUCCUGACCCUGAUCCACAACUCAGGCCUAUCGGCAGAAAAUGAAUGCUCCUGACUGUUUGGAUUUGCAGGUAUGGAAAACGACCGACUAUGCUUCUUCUUCAAGAAUAAAAAUGCUUCUACAGAGAUAAACGAAAACUUCUAAAAGAUUUGUAAACUGUUAUUCAAUGUCAUGUUAACCAAAAUUUAAAAAGUGUUUUUCUAUUUGACAAGUGUUUCCAAAAUAUGCAAUAAUAAAGCAUCUA